GACAGAGGCCUCGAGCGUUAGGCGGAAUCACUGGGCUUAAAGCGUGUGUAGGCGGGCGCCUAAGUGUCUUGUGAAGUCCCACGGCUCAACCGUGGAACCGCUGGGCAUACUGGGCGUCUUGGGCCAACUAGGGGCAGCCGGAACAAGCGGUGGAGCGGUGAAAUGCGUAGAUAUCGCUUGGAACGCCGAAGGUGAAAACAGGCUGCUGGGGUUGCGCCGACGCUGAGACACGAAAGCCAGGGGAGCAAACGGG
rnacentral:rRNA from 1 species